rnacentral:rRNA from 1 species
AGUGAACGCUGGCGGUAGGCCUAACACAUGCAAGUCGAACGGCAGCAUAGUAAGAGCUUGCUCUUACGGGUGGCGAGUGGCGGACGGGUGAGGAAUACAUCGGAAUCUACUUUUUCGUGGGGGAUAACGUAGGGAAACUUACGCUAAUACCGCAUACGACCUACGGGUGAAAGCUGGGGAUCUUCGGACCUUGCCCGAUUGAAUGAGCCGAUGUCGGAUUAGCUAGUUGGCGGGGUAAAGGCCCACCAAGGCGACGCUCCGUAGCUGGUCUGAGAGGAUGAUCAGCCACACUGGAACUGAGACACGGUCCAGACUCCUACGGGAGGCAGCAGUGGGGAAUAUUGGACAAUGGGCGCAAGCCUGAUCCAGCCAUACCGCGUGGGUGAAGAAGGCCUUCGGGUUGUAAAGCCCUUUUGUUGGGAAAGAAAAGCAGCAGGUGAAUACCCCGCUGUUCUGACGGUACCCAAAGAAUAAGCACCGGCUAACUUCGUG